ACGGUUGCCAUGCUACACACUUUCUCACCAAAUAGCCCAAUUCAUUCGUCAGUUGUUUUUCAAAGAUUCUCAUCAGUCCAACACAAUCAUAUCCUUAUAUUGUCUCCUAUUUUUUCUCUAAAAUUGUUUACUAUUUAUCAAAGUUUAGCACAUGAAUCUCAUUUGGUCACUUUCAUAAUUGUUUCAGUUUACUAGCCACAAUUACUCCUGAUUUUUUCACUUGUUUUUCCUACCUUCUAAGAGAUACUGUUUUUCACAGAGAAAGUGUGAACUUGACUGGAUUUGAAAUCACACAGAAGACAUAGAGAUGUCUGAGGUUGAACUGAGGUUCAAGGAAUACCACAGAAGAGGUUCAGAAAGAAUGUCAAAGUCAGUGGAUGGGACUAUAUGUGCAACAUAAUGCCUUCUGGACAUGACAAAGCUGUUCUACCCUCUCUCACAGCAGCUGUACUUACCUGUUCAAGACUUGUACAAGACUGGGACCUUUAAUAUUUCAUCAUGGGUAGAGAAAAAAAUCUAUGAAGCCCUAUCUUUCCUUAAAAAGUUUAUCAGGAUUUCAUUUUCUUUGGUGAUGUAGCCAAUAAUAACUUAUCUCUACUCCAAUAAAUAAACUUCUACCCAUGCUCAAGAAA